AUGGCUGUCGUCAGCUCGUGUCGUGAGAUGUUGGGUUAAGUCCCGCAACGAGCGCAACCCUUGUCCUGUGUUGCCAUUCCGCAAGGAGGAACUCGCAGGAGACCGCCAGGGAUAACCUGGAGGAAGGUGGGGAUGACGUCAAGUCCUCAUGGCCUUUAUGUCUAGGGCUACACACGUGCUACAAUGGACGGUACAGAGGGUCGCCAACCCGCGAGGGGGAGCCAAUCCCAAAAAACCGUUCUCAGUUCGGAUUGCAGGCUGCAACUCGCCUGCAUGAAGCUGGAAUCGCUAGUAAUGCCGGAUCAGAACGCUGGCGUGAAUACGUUCCCGGGCCUUGUACACACCGCCCGUCACAUCACGAAAGUGGAUUGUACUAGAAGUCUGCAGGCUAACCCGCAAGGGAGGCAGCGGCCCAAGGUGUGAUUCAUAAUUGGGGUGAAGUCGUAACAAGGUAGCCGUAGGAGAACCUGCGGCUGGAUCACCUCCUUUCUAAAGAGACCGUGGCAGGAGUCGCUCAAUUGUACAGAGCGAUAGCCGUUCCUGUCCAAAUACGUUCGGCCUCUUCCUAGAGACUCUCGCAAGAGAGAUAUAUCAAAAUAUAUCUGCAAGUGAAUUAGCGUGAGCGGUCGGCCUAGCCGAUAGCUCCUGCAUCCAAUCGGCCUCGAUUAGUUUUCUUUUAUUAAGGGGCUGUAGCUCAGCUGGGAGAGCGCCUGAUUUGCAUUCAGGAGGUCGCCGGUUCGAUCCCGACCAGCUCCACCAGCUAAACCCAACCGGGCCCGUAGCUCAGCUGGCUAGAGCGCACCCCUGAUAAGGGUGAGGUCGGUGGUUCGAGUCCACCUGGGCCCACCAAACCAGUGCUUCGAACAAUGAAGGACUGAGCCGCGACCGUAAGGGAGCGGACGCUGCAAACUCAAUAAAACUAAUCACCAGCUCAACCAUCAAUUGUAAGUAGGUCACCGACCUGCUCACUAUUGAUAGCUGAGUGAAAACAAGGCUAUUUGAUCUUUGACAUCUGAAUGAUUUUGACGGGCAAUACAACAACAAGUAUUGCAUGGCUAACUGGCACAUCAAACCGGCCAGUUAGUUGUAAGCGCACAAGAAUUACAUUUGUGUUCAUAGUAGAUUUUAUGGUUAAGCUACUAAGGGCGUGUGUGUGGAUGCCUUGGCGAAAGUAGGCGAUGAAGGACGUGGUCAGCUGCGAUAAGCUUCGGGAAGAUGCUAACAAUCUAUGAUCCGGAGAUUUCCGAAUGGGGAAACCCGG
rnacentral:sRNA from 1 species